GACGAACGCUGGCGGCGUGCCUAAUACAUGCAAGUAGAACGCUGAAGGCGGAGCUUGCUCUUCUGGAUGAGUUGCGAACGGGUGAGUAACGCGUAGGUAACCUGCCUGGUAGCGGGGGAUAACUAUUGGAAACGAUAGCUAAUACCGCAUAAGAGUAGAUGUUGCAUGACAUUUACUUAAAAGGUGCAAUUGCAUCACUACCAGAUGGACCUGCGUUGUAUUAGCUAGUUGGUGGGGUAACGGCUUACCAAGGCGACGAUACAUAGCCGACCUGAGAGGGGGAUCGGCCACACUGGGAGUGAGACACGGCCCAGACUCCUACGGGAGGAAGCAGUAGGGAAUCUUCGGCAAUGGACGGAAGUCUGACCGAGCAACGCCGAGGGAGGGAAGAAGGUUUUCGGAUCGUAAAGCUCUGUUGUAAGAGAAGAACGAGUGUGAGAGUGGAAAGUUCACACUGUGACGGUAUCUUACCAGAAAGGGACGGCUAACUACGUG
rnacentral:rRNA from 1 species